UGCAAGGUGGACCCGAGCCACUGGGACAAGAUCUCACAGGUGGCAGUGCAGAGAAUUGAGGAGAAGUAUACAUGGCAAAUUUACUCCGAGAGGCUGCUCAACUUGACGGCGGUGUACAGCUUCUGGAAGCACGUCUCGAAUCUCGACCAUCUUGAGAGCCGCCGCUACCUAGAAAUAUUCUAUGCCCUCAAGUAUCGGAAAUUGGCCGAGUCGGUUCCCCUUGCCGUUGAGUGAGUUAGAGGUGAACAAAAGGGCAGAUAUCAAGAGACAGACAGCUCCAAAUUCUCUCAAGAGUUGAGGAAUAAUUGUCAUUGCAUUGGAUUGGAAGAGAGCCUUUUCUUUUGCUUUUCUUUUUGCAACUGCUUUCGUCAAUCUUUCUUUUGCUUCUUUCUGCUGUGAAUGUAUGUUGGGUUAGGUUCUUCAAAAAGUCAAUUCAAUGAAAUUUCCUUCUUUUCCCCAGUGUCCCCUCAAUUUACCUGUCGUCUUCCACUUGUAAGUUCACGUUCAACCAUUUUUCCUUCGCUUUUAA